rnacentral:rRNA from 1 species
AGAUUGAACGCUGGCGGCAUGCCUAACACAUGCAAGUCGAACGGGAGUAGCAAUACUCUAGUGGCGGACGGGUGAGGAAUACGUAGGAAUUUGCCCUUAAGUGGGGGAUAACCCGGGGAAACCCGGAUUAAUACCGCAUGACCUCGAAAGAGCAAAGUGGGGGAUCGCAAGACCUCACGCUUUUGGAGAAGCCUACGUCGGAUUAGCUAGUUGGUGAGGUAAUGGCUCACCAAGGCGACGAUCCGUAACUGGUCUGAGAGGAUGAUCAGUCACGACCGGAACUGACG